AGGACGAACGCUGGCGGCGUGCUUAACACAUGCAAGUCGAACGGAAAGGCCCUUCGGGGUACUCGAGUGGCGAACGGGUGAGUAACACGUGGGUGAUCUGCCCCGCACUUUGGGAUAAGCCUGGGAAACUGGGUCUAAUACCGAAUAGGACCAUGGCAUGCAUGUGCUGUGGUGGAAAGCUUUUGCGGUGUGGGAUGGGCCCGCGGCCUAUCAGCUUGUUGGUGGGGUUAAGGCCUACCAAGGCGACGACGGGUAGCCGGCCUGAGAGGGUGUCCGGCCACACUGGGACUGAGAUACGGCCCAGACUCCUACGGGAGGCAGCAGUGGGGAAUAUUGCACAAUGGGCGCAAGCCUGAUGCAGCGACGCCGCGUGGGGGAUGACGGCCUUCGGGUUGUAAACCCUUUCAGUAGGGACGAAGCGCAAGUGACGGUACCUACAGAAGAAGCACCGGCCAACUACGUGCCAGCAGCCGC
rnacentral:rRNA from 1 species